GACGAACGCUGGCGGCGUGCUUAACACAUGCAAGUCGAACGGGAACCUUUAUUUCGGUAAAGGUGAGAGUGGCAAACGGGUGAGUAACACGUAGGCAACCUGCCGACAGGAUGGGGACAACAUUCCGAAAGGAAUGCUAAUACCGAAUGGAGUCCGGAGAUGGCAUCAUCUCCGGAUAAAAGAUGGCCUCUGAAUAUGCUAUCGCCUGUCGAUGGGCCUGCGUCUGAUUAGCCAGUUGGCGGGGUAACGGCCCACCAAAGCGACGAUCAGUAGCCGGUCUGAGAGGAUGAACGGCCACAUUGGGACUGAGACACGGCCCAGACUCCUACGGGAGGCAGCAGUGGGGAAUCUUCCACAAUGGGCGAAAGCCUGAUGGAGCAACGCCGCGUGAGUGAAGAAGGUCUUCGGAUCGUAAAGCUCUGUUGCACGGGACGAAAACCGAGCUUGAGAAUAUUGA
rnacentral:rRNA from 1 species